rnacentral:rRNA from 1 species
UACGUAGGGAGCAAGCGUUGUUCGGAUUUACUGGGCGUAAAGGGCGCGUAGGCGGCAAUUCAAGUCAUCUGUGAAAUCUCUGGGCUUAACUCGGAACGGUCAGAUGAUACUGCUUUGCUAGAGUGCAGAAGGGGCAAUCGGAAUUCUCGGUGUAGCGGUGAAAUGCGUAGAUAUCGAGAGGAACACCAGAGGUGAAGACGGGUUGCUGGGCUGACACUGACGCUGAGGCGCGAAAGCCAGGGGAGCAAACGGG